rnacentral:rRNA from 1 species
AUUGAACGCUAGCGGGAUGCUUUACACAUGCAAGUCGAACGAGUGGCGGACGGGUGAGUAAUGUAACGGAACGUGCCCAGUAGCGGUGGAUACCUAAUCGACAGAGUGGCACAUACCGCCUACUAAUGGAGCGGGCGAUAUCGGAGUAGCUAGUGGGUGGGGUAAAGGCGCACCAAGGCAACCAUCCGUAGCUGGUUUGAGAGGACGACCAGCCACACUGGAACUGAGACACGGCCCAGACUCCUACGGGAGGCAGCAGUGGGGAAUUUUGCACAAUGGGGGAAACCCUGAUGCAGCCAUCCCGCGUGUAUGAGAAGGCCUUCGGGUUGUAAAGUACUUUUGGCAGAGAAGCGGUAUCCGCAGAAUAAGCACCGGCUAACUACGUGCCAGCAGCCGCGGUAAUUC